GAUGAACGCUGGCGGCGUGCCUAAUACAUGCAAGUCGAGCGAACAGAUGAUGAGCUUGCUCCUCUGACGUUAGCGGCGGACGGGUGAGUAACACGUGGAUAACCUACCUAUAAGACUGGGAUAAUUUCGGGAAACCGGAGCUAAUACCGGAUCAUAUAUUGAACCGCAUGGUUCAAUAGUGAAAGACGGUUUUGCUGUCACUUAUAGAUGGAUCCGCGCCGCAUUAGCUAGUUGGUAAGGUAACGGCUUACCAAGGCAACGAUGCGUAGCCGACCUGAGAGGAUGAUCGGCCACACUGGAACUGAGACACGGUCCAGACUCCUACGGGAGGCAGCAGUAGGGAAUCUUCCGCAAUGGGCGAAAGCCUGACGGAGCAACGCCGCGUGAGUGAUGAAGGUCUUCGGAUCGUAAAACUCUGUUAUUAGGGAAGAACAAAUGUGUAAGUAACUAUGCACGUCUUGACGGUACCUAAUCAGAAAGCCACGGCUAACUACGUG
rnacentral:rRNA from 1 species